GCUUACGGCCAUACCACCCUGAGAACGCCCGAUCUCGUCCGAUCUCGGAAGCUAAGCAGGAUCGGGCCUGGUUAGUACUUGGAUGGGAGACCGCCUGGGAAUACCAGGUGCUGUAAGCU
rnacentral:rRNA from 1 species